AAGUCGUAACAAGGUUUCCGUAGGUGAACCUGCGGAAGGAUCAUUAAUGAUUGGUCAAAAGGCCUUAUCUCAUCCUUCAUACCUGUGAACCGUUGGCCCUCGGGCCUCUCUACAAAACACUGUGUAAUGAACGUAUAUCAUAUGAACAAAACAAAACUUUUAACGACGGAUCUCUUGGCUCUC
rnacentral:misc_RNA from 1 species